UAGAAAAAUAAUUAAAUAUUUUAAAAUUGUUCAUAUUUUUGUUAUAAGGGAAUGAUAUUUCUUUCUAAUUAAAAGAAUGUUUUACUAUAUUCAUUCAUUCUUUCUGUGAAAUUUAUUUUCAGGCAUAUCCUCCUUACCGAAAUUCACCAUAUCAGGUCAUCACUGGAUAUCACUUUCCUGUAUAUUAUUAUCCGAUGCCACCACAGUGGCCUGUUGGGGAGCCCAGGAAUUAUGCUGUACCUCUGAUGCCACCACAGUGGCCUGUUGGGGAGCCCAGGAGUUACACUGUACCUCUGGUA
rnacentral:lncRNA from 1 species